CAGGCUUCUGGCUAUAUUCC
rnacentral:miRNA from 1 species